rnacentral:rRNA from 1 species
GACGAACGCUGGCGGCGUGCUUAACACAUGCAAGUCGAACGGAAAGGCCCGGCUUUUGUGGGGUGCUCGAGUGGCGAACGGGUGAGUAACACGUGAGUAACCUGCCCUUUACUUUGGGAUAACUUCAGGAAACUGGGGCUAUUACCGGAUAUGAGCUCCUGCUGCAUGGUGGGGGUUGGAAAGUUUCGGCGGUUGGGGAUGGACUCGCGGCUUAUCAGCUUGUUGGUGGGGUAGUGGCUUACCAGGGCUUUGACGGGUAGCCGGCCUGAGAGGGUGACCGGCCACAUUGGGACUGAGAUACGGCCCAGACUCCUACGGGAGGCAGCAGUGGGGAAUAUUGCACAAUGGGCGGAAGCCUGAUGCAGCAACGCCGCGUGCGGGAUGACGGCCUUCGGGUUGUAAACCGCUUGCGCCUGUGACGAAGCGUGAGUGACGGUAAUGGGUAAAGAAGCACCGGCUAACUACGUG